rnacentral:rRNA from 1 species
GAUGCACGCUAGCUACAGGCUUAACACAUGCAAGUCGAGGGGUAACGAGAGGAAAGCUUGCUUUCCUUGUCGACGACCGGCGCACGGGUGAGUAACGCGUAGCCAACCUGCCCCCAACUAGGGAAUAACCUUGCGAAAGUAAGACUAAUACCCUAUAAUUUCCUCAGAUGUCAUCUGACGAGGAAUAAAGAUUUAUCGGUUGUGGAUGGGGAUGCGUCUGAUUAGCUUGUUGGCGGGGUAACGGCCAACCAAGGCAACGAUCAGUAGGGGUUCUGAGAGGAAGGUCCCCCACAUUGGAACUGAGACACGGUCCAAACUCCUACGGGAGGCAGCAGUGAGGAAUAUUGGUAAAUGGGCGGAAGCCUGAACCAGCCAAUUAGCGUGCAGGAUGACGGCCCUAUUGGUUGUAAACUUCUUUUAUACAGGAAUAAAGUUAGCCACGUGUGGUUAUUUGUAGGUACUGUAUGAAUAAGGACCGGCUAAUUCCGUGCCAGCCGCCGCAGUAA